UUGGAGGGCAAGUCUGGUGCCAGCAGCCGCGGUAAUUCCAGCUCCAAUAGCGUAUAUUAAAGUUGUUGCAGUUAAAAAGCUCGUAGUUGAAUUUCGGGAUCAAUAUGCCGGUCAUGCCUUGGUAUGUACUGGUAUCUUUGAUUUCUCCCUUCUGACGAACCUUGAUGUCAUUAAUUUGGUGUCAUAGGGAAUCAGGACUGUUACUUUGAAAAAAUUAAAGUGUUUAAAGCAGG
rnacentral:rRNA from 1 species